AUAAAUGUACUAUAUACAUAUAUGUAUAUGUGUGAGUACGAUUUUUUCUACGAACGUAGUCAAACGCAACGGAAUGUUGGGACAUAAAAAAUCGGACGAAGAUCGAUUGUAUUUCCAUUGACAGACGAAAUGCCGCUGUUCAAAGUGAUACUGUCAAUUAGGUUGUUAAUUUAUUUGAAAGUAAACUGCAUUAUUCAAUAAGUAAUCAUGAAAAUUGAACAAAAUACUCCAGCACGGACACGAGAACAUAUCAUAUGUAUGUAUGUUUUUGUGUGUUUUGUAGUGUUGACAAAGCCAAUAAAUAAUGGAAAAUUGUGAAAUUGCGUUUAAAAUGAUUUCGAGUAUCUUUUCCGGCGCUGACGUAGCGCCAACUAAUUGCAGCAAAUAUGGUGUAAUGUGUCAUCACUGCGCUCACGUGGUAAAAACUAUCUCAAAUAGAUGAGUACAAAGCAAGUUGACAUAACAAACGCUGCGGCGGUGAUAAUGAAAUGUCAACAGUGGUUGUGAUUAAUAGAUAAUGCAUAAUACAGAAACCGUUUUUUAUUCGAAUAGGCAUGUUGGAGGCGCAACGCUGCGGACAACUCGAAAACUAAGUAUAAUAAUAAUAGCAAGAAAAGGGUGUUGGUGUCUCUGACAGGAAGUGGUAAGCAGCCAGCAAAGAAAGCGGAUCGUGCGACCAGGCAUUUGCGAAGGAAAAGUCAAACAUUUGGGCGCCUUUGGCAGGAAUGUGAAUUAAUUUCGCCAACUGUUUGACUUAUUGUUAACAAGGGCAACCACACAAACACACGCCUGAAUUGAGGGUAGCCGAGUGAAAUAUGAGAAAUUUGUAAUGAAUUAUGAACAAACGCACAAGCACUUAUGAAGCAAUGCUGAUUAAUCCAGAUAAGUCCAGAUGUUGAUAAUUUUUCAAUAAAAACGCUAUGAAACAA